UCAUAUACAUCUAUUUUUGGGGUGUUCGUUGUUAGAGUUCAUAGGUUAAAAUGUGUUCAACAUAAUGACCAAAGUGUGAGUUAUUCAAUGAAAAGACAUCACCUAUAUGACUAUGCACUUGAAAAGCCACUGUAUGACAAUUGCCUGUUUCGAACAAAAGGGAAAAGUUAGUGAACAUAAGUUCAAAGACAAAACAAUUUAUCAUCUUGCUGAGCUCGUUGGUUUCACUUUCA
rnacentral:lncRNA from 1 species